AUAAAACUCAAUAAACAUUUUAAUCAUCUAAUCGUUGAAAUACUAAUUGGAGCGUAACAGCUGCACAUAUUAUAUAGGCGAGAGAGCAAAGAAUCGCUUUGCGAUUAGUUAGUUAACAUCCAACAUGAUUCUUUAAAAAAUCGGUUUUUGUUUUCACUGAUCAACAUCCAUCGCAAGAUAUUUUUUAAAACUGGAGUCGCGAAGAGCGCUGAUUGGAAUUCCAGCUAGCCUGACCAAGUGACAAGUUGACAACUCUAUAUAAUGAUGACUUUUGCCUCUUUUGCAACAGAUAGUUAUUCUAAUUUGAUAAACAGCUGCCAUCGACGCGCAUCGAUUCCCAAUAUUCCCAUGAGAAGAUAAAAAGGUGGAUCGCCGCCGCGCGCGUGUAAAUAAAGCUUAAACGAUGCGUGCACCUUAUCGCGCACGACUUUUCGCGCUUUCGUUGCCAAGAGCGUCAAGAGCGCGGCGUGUCGCGCCGAUAGCAUCUAUAGAAUGUAUACAUUAUACGUUCGCGUUCCCUCGGAGGCUCGAACUACUCCGGGACCGGGACGAAGCGGCACACGCACAGGCCACAGGGCCACAAGCCACAGCCACUCGUGACGUGACUCGAGUUUAGUCGGCAGCGGCAGCAUGCGUCGGCGACGUACGUCUCGAAUGUCUCGAUACGCGGUACGCGGCGGUCUCGCGUGAGCAGCGUGAGCUAACGUCCGGACCCGGACUCCGGAUUGCCUGCGCUCGGAUGACCUGGCGGAUCUGGCGAGCUUCAAUCUCCUCUCGCGCUCGUAUGACCGCGAGAAAUCCUACGCUGGGUAUGACCAUUUUGUGGAAUGUACACAUGACUAAAAUAAUGUGAGAAAAAAUGGUAAGCAAUUUACCACAAGAAUUCAAGAAGUAUCAGAGGAACAGGAAUCAGCUACACCAUAUACUUGAAGAGACACAGCGUACAUUAGAGGUUAUAAAACUUGAGAACUUUUUCCCUGGAGAGAAUAUCAUCGAGGAAUUACUGCCUCCAUUGACCUUGGACAGAGUGACACACAUCCUUGAUAAUUCUCCCGCAAUAGUCAUUUUUGGGCAAGAUAAUAAAGCCAAAGCUUCGCUGGUUAACAACUUGCUUUCCGCCGAUAUCUUGCCGCUGUCCAACGAUCCAUGGAGAUGGGUCAAGAUCACGUAUGGUCAUACGAAUCAUGUCAGUCUCACGUUAGGUUUAGAAUACGAAGUAGUCGAGACGUUACGGGCAAACGAAAAAUCAUGGAGCACGCUCCCAUUCGAGGAUCUAGAAAAAUCGAUAAACGAAGACAUCAAUUGCCCUACAGUGCUGGAAGUGAAGUUAGAUCAAGCAAUACUGAAAGAAGGUGUUCAAAUAUUUGUCGUCCCCAACAGUGGUGUAGUAAAAAUUCUCGCUAAAGGCUCGUUGAAAAUUUUACCUAUAUUUCUCUACGCUCUCGGGGAGCAACCGUUGACUGAAGAAAAUUUGGAAGAAUUGAGAGAUUUGAAAGAGACUUAUCCGUAUAAUCCGAUUUUAUUCAUAUCGUCGUUAGCUAAUGUUUCGUUGGAUGGCACAGACGCGGAAUUGACUGAGUCUGAGCAGCAUAGCCUGCAAAAUCGGAUAGAGGUGCCGAGCGUAUCUAAGGAAUCGAAGAGUGAUGAUAGUAUUAAUAUUGACAAAAUGAAUUCACUCGGUCUAACGUGGCUAGAUCAGUUGAGCAGUUUAGGAUUCCUAGGGAUGGAAGAGUCUGUGGAAGUUCAUCAAUUAACGUGGCUUGUCGGCGAGCGUUACGUUAAUAAUUCAAGCGACCUAGUGGAUUCAUGCAAAAAAACGGACCGCGUUUUACAUUUCACGCGUGCCUGCCUGCAAAGCUAUCUGAUAAACGCCAGCACUUAUUUGAAUGAAAUACAUACAACCAGUCUACGUAAAUUUAUUUUAAGUGCGUUUGACAUGGCACGAAAAAUACAGAUCACUCCUAGAAGGAUACAAUACGCCCAACAGAAAGAAAACGAACUUUAUGCUAGUCUAAUGAAGGUUGUUAAUGAGCAGCAGGUGGAAUUGACUGAAUUAAUACAAUGUAUUAUUCAGGAGAUGAAAGACGAUAUAUUAGGGUCCACUGGCGAUAUCUUCCAGUAUCAGACCGUUCCUUUCGAUAAUAGCGAAGCGGAGUGGACGGUUACUGUUCGUGUUGCGACGUCGGAGGUCCAACGAUUUGUGCUAGGCCGCUUGGGUGAGAAAGUCGCGAAGGAGCUCGUGAACUCAGUAAACUGUCUUCGAGAAACUUUUAUCGGGACUCUUCAACGUUGCUUAAUAAGUCUUGAAAAAACUUACGAACACGACAGCAGCCUGUUAGCUAGUGAUGCCUUGAAGCAAAUACUCUCCGCGGCAUACAAUGUGGAAUUGCACAAUUCGUCACCAUCCUUGGUGCACUCGUUCUUGGAAAGAUUGAGACAGCUCUUCAAAUCUUUACCGCUGCCAUGGACACCUACCCCGACUCUGGACACGGCUUGGAGGCGGAAGGUUACUGUCGAUAUCUUGAAUUCCUUGUCGGCAGCGAGAUUGGCGAAAACAAUUUCCACGCAGUUUAGAGACAAACUGAAAUCGUCGCAUGACGCCUUCCAGACUGCCUUGAAAUCUCUAGAAAACUAUUAUUCGGGGAAGCUGGAGAGGACCGAGGAACAGAGAAUAGCUAUACGAAAGUACCACGCACCCAAGCUAGCUAAACUCGCGUUGGAAUCCACGUCGAUGAUGGAUGCGAUUCGCUUCGGCAUUCCUCAUUACGGCAAGGAGAUUGGCAGAGGACAGUAUGGUGUGGUGUUUGCUUGCGACGGUUGGGGCGGUGCGCCGGGACCAUGCGCGGUAAAAUCCGUUGUUCCGCCGGACGAGAGGCAUUGGAACGAUCUCGCGAUGGAGGUUUACUAUACCAGGUCGAUACCAGAUCACAAAAGGAUAGUGAAGCUUCGCGGAUCCGUUGUAGACCAAUCGUACGGCGGGGGAUUCGGAUUGGGCACUGCAGUUCUCUUAAUCACUGACCGGUUAAGUCGCGAUUUAUACUGCGGUAUACACGCCGGUCUUUCGUGGCUGGAACGUAUACAAAUAGCGAUAGAUGUCCUGGAGGGAAUACGUUAUCUUCACUCGCAAGGCCUAGUUCAUCGUGAUAUCAAAUUGAAAAAUGUCUUGCUCGAUACGGAAAACAGGGCUAAACUAACUGAUCUCGGAUUUUGUAUUACCGAAGCUAUGAUGUCAGGUAGUAUCGUAGGAACGCCGAUCCACAUGGCACCGGAACUCCUGUCUGGCCAUUACGACAGCAGUGUCGAUGUCUAUGCCUUUGGCAUCUUGUUUUGGUAUAUAUGUGCUGGGAAGGUUCGAUUACCGUAUGCAUUUGAACAAUUUCAUAACAAGGAGCAGUUAUGGACAAGCGUGCGGAAAGGUCUUAGGCCCGAGAGACUACCACAUUUUGACGAGGAGUGUUGGACGUUAAUGGAACAAUGUUGGUCUGCGGAGCCUUCCAAACGGCCGUUGCUCGGUGCGAUUCAACCAGUGUUAGAGUCUAUUCAGGACAAAGCGGAAAGAGGCAAGUCCUUGCAAUUAGGCGCACUGAAACUACAAGAGAGUUCAUCAUCCGAACAUACAAAUCCUGCGCUAGCAUUAGCAGAGCCUAAUAACCAAAGAGAUAAUACGUUCUUCGCAACCGAGCCUGCAUGAAAAUUUGGGCGGAUAUUGAUAAUACAAUUGUUUCAAGGAAAUAUAAUAAUAGAUUGUACAAUAUUUUUAUUACUCGAUAAGUGUGAGGAUAUGAAGAUUAUGCGCAGAACUAUUUAAUCAAAGAUCGACAUAGAUGCGUAAAGCCUGUAUAUAUUUUUCUAAAGAAAGGAGGAAUAGCAAUCUCUUGAGGAGAGAGAAAAACCUGAGAAUGAACAGUGAGCUGAAGUAAUCCAGCAGGAAAAUAUGUACCGUGUGCCACUGACUUUAAAUGGAGAUGGAAGAUGGAACAUGGCCAACACGGAACCCGUCCACUGGCGCCUCUAUGUACAUGAAACGUGUGCGUUGAACUACGUAGUCAUGUACCUAUCAUUGAUGUCUACAAAUAUUUCCGACGGGUAACAUGGGAUAACUGCAACGCAUCAUAUCACCGACAACCCAGCAACACGUAUGUCUAAAAGAUAUCUUUCUGACAAUUUUAUAAGACAUUUGAACAAUUUUUAGACAUCUUUUAGAUGUCUGGUAAGAUGUCUUAAUAUUUUUUGAAAAAAUACUAUUAAAAAUCGACUAUUUUGCAGAAAAUGUCGUGACUGUUAAAAUUUAUACGAUUUAAUUUAGACUAUAUAGAUCGUAAUAUAAUAUCAAUUUUAUGAUUUAUUAUUAUCCUAAUGUAAGAUUGUUCUUAUAUAUAUUUACGAUUCGAUAAUAUUCGAUUUUUAUUUAAAACUACUGCAGUUUUACUUUUAUCACUUUUGGGUUUGAGACAAGAUAAGACAUGUAUCAGCUAUUGUCUUUUAUUUUAUUUUGAUUGUUCGUUAUUCACUCGCGAUGUAUUUUCGCAAAUUUUUUUUUUUUUUUAACUAAAAAAUAUGGUAUUACAUGCGUUAGAUUAAAAUGAAAUGAGAAGAGCCUGCAAGAAUUGU